rnacentral:lncRNA from 1 species
UCAAAAAUUUCCCCCAAAGUAUGCUCUCUAAUUUUCAGAUCUAAGAGCUGAAAUUCAAACUCUAAAACCCCAAAAACAAUAGAAAAAUCCAAAAACGAAAAAAAUAGAAAAUCAAAGAAAACCGGUUACAUGGCUCUUACCUAGAUCAUUUUCAAUGGUUCAGUUUUAAAUCAACAUUUUAGCUUAGUUAAGAUCACGAACUGCUUGAAUUCCUCAUUUCUGUUCGAACAUUUUAAGUGUGAAGACAAGUUGAAACAGUCAUGGGUUAAUUGAUUAGAUGCACUGAAUUAUGGGCUUAGUUAUGAGUAUUUGGUACUGUUUGGCUGCUAUAUUGACAUUGUUGAUAAUAUUCAAAACAAUUUUGAGCUCGAUCCUGGUUAGAAUUGCAGUUCCAACUCGUAUAAUAUUGUUGUUUGCGAUCUGAUCUCCUCCUUUCCUUACUUGUGUUCCAAUUUUCAGGUAUGUUCCCAAAGUCUAGGUGGUGGAACUAAAUUGAUAUGUAAAAACUCAUUUGAAAUCAAUUAAUGAAGAAUUGAAGCUUGGACUGUUUGAUUACUGUGACUGCAUUUCUGCAGAUUUUCUUACACUAUUGUUUAGUUUGUUUUCAUUCUCGUGUGGUUGAUUAAUAGGAAGUUCAUUAGUGAAUAACUGGACAGUUGCUUAUUGUUUUAAUUCGUGCCUUUUUGAAUUGAUGCUAUGAUUUUC